UAGGGAAUCUUCGGCAAUGGACGAAAGUCUGACCGAGCAACGCCGCGUGAGUGAAGAAGGUUUUCGGAUCGUAAAACUCUGUUGGUAGAGAAGAACGUUGGUGAGAGUGGAAAGCUCAUCAAGUGACGGUAACUACCCAGAAAGGGACGGCUAACUACGUGCCAGCAGCCGCGGUAAUACGUAGGUCCCGAGCGUUGUCCGGAUUUAUUGGGCGUAAAGCGAGCGCAGGUGGUUUAUUAAGUCUGGUGUAAAAGGCAGUGGCUCAACCAUUGUAUGCAUUGGAAACUUGUAGACUUGAGUGCAGGAGAGGAGAGUGGAAUUCCAUGUGUAGCGGUGAAAUGCGUAGAUAUAUGGAGGAACACCGGUGGCGAAAGCGGCUCUCUGGCCUGUAACUGACACUGAGGCUCGAAAGCGUGGGGAGCAAACA
rnacentral:rRNA from 1 species